UACGUAGGGGGCAAGCGUUGUCCGGAUUUAUUGGGCGUAAAGAGCGUGUAGGCGGCUAGGUAGGUCCGUUGUGAAACUCGAGGCUCAACCUCGAGACGUCGGCGGAAACCACUUGGCUAGAGUCCGGAAGAGGAGAGUGGAAUUCCCGGUGUAGCGGUGAAAUGCGCAGAUAUCGGGAAGAACACCUAUGGCGGAAGGCAGCUCUCUGGGAACGGUA
rnacentral:rRNA from 1 species